rnacentral:rRNA from 1 species
CACGUAGGGUGCGAGCGUUGUCCGGAAUUAUUGGGCGUAAAGGGCUCGUAGGCGGUUUGUCGCGUCGGGAGUGAAAACUCAGGGCUCAACCUCGUUCGUGCUUCCGAUACGGGCAAACUAGAGGUAGGCAGGGGAGAACGGAAUUCCUGGUGUAGCGGUGGAAUGCGCAGAUAUCAGGAGGAACACCGGUGGCGAAGGCGGUUCUCUGGGCCUAUUCUGACGCUGAGGAGCGAAAGCAUGGGGAGCGAACAGG